CAAAUGAUCUUUUCUAGGCGUGGACUGAAGAGCAGGAAAUCAGAUGAGAAGAGCAGAAGAGAGGAAACCAAAGAGAAAGAAAUACAGACACCAGGAACGAUCAGAAAAAGGAGGCUGCCACAGACAGUGAAUCUGGGGAGUCAUCAGAAGAUAGUGAAAGUGUUCAGAAAAAAAUGGAUUAUUCAUUUAAGAAAGAAGUUGAAGAGGGACCUUCAAAACAUCUGCAGCAGGUAGAUCACUUAAGCAUUGGUUACAAAUUUCUUCAGUGGAAUUAACUUGAAUGUUUGUGU
rnacentral:lncRNA from 1 species